UAUAUCUUAAAAGCCACAUGACUGGCCAAAAGUGAAGCGAGGAGAGAGGAAAGAGAAGACCUUGGAAAUGUAGGCUGAGCACCAGCUUCAUCCUAAAGCUGAAGUUUCCUCAUGGUCACUAAAUCCCGCCUGGAAUAAAUCCUACCUCGCAUCUUCUUUGGUGAGAUCACAGGAGAGAGAGAGAAGAGAGACCAACACUGCGCACAACCAUUCAAUCUUCUACAUGUUUUAUACUACUACUGCACGGAUCCAUAGGAAGACUAUCCUUUUGAAAAUGGCGUCCUAUGACGCGUCACUCGGCAGCUCACCUUUUCAACCAUUGUUGGCAGUAUCAUAUUUACUGAACAUGCCCCAGUGGACAAUUCGAUUUUCUUCUGGUCGCCC